UACAGAGGUCUCAACCGUUGUUCGGAUUCAUUGGGCGUAAAGGGCUCGUAGGCGGCCAACUAAGUCAUACGUGAAAUCCCUCAGCUUAACUGGGGAACUGCGUGUGAUACUGGAUGGCUUGGAUUUGGGAGAGGGAUGCGGAAUUCCAGGUGUAGCGGUGAAAUGCGUAGAUAUCUGGAGGAACACCGGUGGCGAAGGCGGUUCUCUGGGAAUAUCCUGACGCUGAGGAGCGAAAGUGUCGGGAGCGAACAGG
rnacentral:rRNA from 1 species